GGGCCUAUAGCUCAGCGGUAGAGCCCCCGGCUCAUAACCGGUUGGUCCCUGGUUCGAAUCCAGGUGGGCCCA
rnacentral:tRNA from 2 species